GAGCAUUGACUAAGGUCGGUAGUACAAGGGAUAAAAUAAGACAUCUUAUAUUAUAAUUGCAAUAUUACAAUAGUUAGUAUAGAAUUCUAAUUUCUGCAAUGCUUCUGUAACUGAUCGCAUACUCUUAAUGCCUUCCAGUUUUAUUGCGUUCCGACUGUAUUCUUAGCCUCUUGUUUAUCACGAACCCCAAAUAAUAAUUUUGUAUUGUCACGGACUCCCAAGACAUAACUCAAAAUUUAAAUUCACAAUGUGACAAAAUAUUAAUAAACGAGGACUUUGUGAACCUCUGGAGAUGCGCGGACUACAGGUUAAGAACUGCUACGAAAGAUGAACGACCUACUCAGAUCGUAUGCGGUACCCGAUUUUUUCAAGCCACUCGGUUCUUUCAGAUCGGAUUGAUCCUAAUCGAUAAUAAUAAAUUACCAUUAUUCAAAUCAAAUAUAUCUUGGAUCGCGUUCUGGAACAACUCUAAUGUGAUGCGAAUGCACGUCGUCGUACGCAGUGAACGUAUUAAUUAGAUAUGUAUUAUACGUGAAUCAAUAAAGAAAUAAUAUAAUCAUAUACAUACCGACAUCUUUGUUAAAAUAAAUCAAACGUUACCAAAUGUUUUACAGAAAAUGUCAUCGAAUUGUUACCAUCUAUACAUCUCUAUUUUCUCGAAAUCAUCUCCAUACUUAACCAGUAAUC
rnacentral:misc_RNA from 1 species